rfam:Aedes aegypti strain Liverpool supercont1.619 genomic scaffold, whole genome shotgun sequence.
CAAUCGGCCCUUCUCAGAGCCAACAAAUGUGUUCUAAAGAGUUAUUU